UCAAGUAUGUAAAAUGCACAAGUUUUGGUCACUUAGAGAUUGAAAACAGUCACUUUAAUGCAUUUAAGUAAAAUAAGAGGAAAACAAACAUUGAAG